rnacentral:pre_miRNA from 1 species
UUCUGCUCUCAUUCAAAUCAAUGAGAGUUCUACCAUUGACUUAACUGGGAGCACAAUU